UACAGAGGUGGCAAGCGUUGUUCGGAAUUACUGGGCGUAAAGGGCGCGUAGGCGGCCUUCUAAGUCAGACGUGAAAUCCCCCGGCUUAACCUGGGAACUGCGUCUGAUACUGGGGGGCUAGAGUAUGGGAGAGGAAGGUAGAAUUCCAGGUGUAGCGGUGAAAUGCGUAGAUAUCUGGAGGAAUACCGGUGGCGAAGGCGGCCUUCUGGACCAUAACUGACGCUGAUCCGCGAAAGCUAGGGGAGCAAACGGG
rnacentral:rRNA from 1 species